rnacentral:lncRNA from 1 species
GAGACAGGAAUACAGGCGACCCCUAGCACAGAGCCUGGCACCCAGCAGAUGCCAUAAUUGCCAGGUGACCUUGCACUUGGAAAUGUGGUCCUGUAUUCGUUAGCUUUCCGAUACUGUAACAAAUACCUAAUGUAAUCAUCUUAUAAAGAGAAAAGGUUGGUUUGGCCUCACAGUUUGCAGAUUCCAGUCCAUGAUGGGUGGGUUCUGUUGCUUUUGAGGCCUGUGGCAAGACAGUACUUCCUGCUGGGAACACAUGGCAAAGCCUCUCACCAUAAUCGCUGCCAAGGGCCCCCCCAAGGACCAGAGGACCCUCCCCCACACUUGGUGCCCGCCUCUUGGAGUUUCCCCGCCCCCAGUAGCAUCUGGCUGGGAAUGGAGGCCUGACCCGCGGGCCUUCCUGGAGACCCGUGCAUCUUGAUAUUGAGCCAAUCUAGAGCAGGUCCUUUAGAAAACCUGCCCGGGCUGUUUCUCCAGUUGAUCCCUCUGCGGCUCCUUCCCACCCCGGGGCAGGCUCUAGAGUGACCCCCUGGGAACACAGAACGCCAGCCCCCCAUCAAGCCCCCCUGCACCCCGUCACCUCUCACCAGCUCUGACCUGCGUUUGCCCCCAGCUUCUGGAGAUGCGAUCCUCGAAGUCUCCCCAGCUGCACAGCCACCUGGAGACAGAGACUGGCCAGGCCUCACGGGGCCCCGGGUCCGGAGCCGCCCACACAGCCACCCCCGAGAGGCGAGAAGGACCCAGGGAGGCAGUUCCCGCUGGGGGCUCGGGGCGCCCGUGUGCUUGGUCUGUACAAAAUAAAGUCGUCUUCCUUGGUA